rnacentral:lncRNA from 1 species
ACUCAAUUUGGAACCCUACUAAAAAUCUUCUUUCCGGUCUAUGUUGGGCCAAGUCCGAGGGCUAUAGAUCGUGGGCUUCUCUGUUAGAUUAGUAGGGGGGGUAAUGAUCUUUGUGUGCUAUGGUUUUGGAAGCUGAUCUUAAAUGGAGGAUCGAUUAGGGGCUCAAGGUAUGGGAUUUUGGAUCUUGAUGAUUUUCUGCUGGUGGUUUGUGCCUGGAAGAAGGCCUCCAUGUGUACAGAUCUAGUUUAUUCGAGCUUAUUGAACAUCUUAUCCAUAAAUUAGAUCUGGUACCGUGCUAUGCUUUUGGACAUCUCGGUUGCAAAACUCUCAAUCAAAU